UACGUAGGGUGCGAGCGUUGUCCGGAAUUAUUGGGCGUAAAGAGCUCGUAGGCGGUGUGUCGCGUCGGCCGUGAAAACCUGCAGCUUAACUGUGGGCUUGCGGUCGAUACGGGCAUCACUGGAGUUCGGCAGGGGAGACUGGAAUUCCUGGUGUAGCGGUGAAAUGCGCAGAUAUCAGGAGGGAACACCGGUGGCGAAGGCGGGUCUCUGGGCCGAUACUGACGCUGGAG
rnacentral:rRNA from 1 species